CAGUAGCGUAUACUAAUGUUGCUGCAGUUAAAAAGCUCGUAGUUGGAUUUCUGGGUGAUAUUCUCGGUCCGUCCGGUUUACCGGUAUGAGUAUCGAAUUAUAUCUCUCAUCCUAGAUAUUAUCUUGGGGCUUGUCUCCUUGGUUUUAUCUUCUUUUACUUUGAAAAAAUUAGAGUGUUCAAAGCAGGCUUGCGCAAUGAAUACAUUAGCAUGGAAUAAUAAUAUAGGACUUCGGUUUUAUUUUGUUGGUUUCUAGAAUUGAAGUAAUGAUUGAUAGGGACAGUGGGGGUGCUAGUAUUGAGUGGCCAGAGGUGAAAUUCUUGGAUUCACUCAAGACUAACUUAUGCGAAAGCAUUCACCAAGGAUGUCUUCUUUAAUCAAGAACGAAAGUUGGGGGAUCGAAGACGAUCAGAUACC
rnacentral:rRNA from 1 species